rnacentral:rRNA from 1 species
CCCGGUGGCUCGAGCGGAGAGUCCACACCCGAUCCCAUCCCGAACUCGGCCGUUAAACUCUUCAGCGCCGAUGGUACUGUGUCUCAAGACCCGGGAGAGUAGGUCGUUGCCGGGC